UGGCCUGGGGGCUGUGGCUGGGGCGGAGCCGCCGCGGUUUACGCGCGUGGGGGUCCCCAGCCGCCUCCACCGCCCCGGGGCUGGACCAUCAGCCGAGCCCCAGGAACCCCCAGUCGUCAUCAUCAUCAUCAUCAUGCCCUGGAGCUGCUGGGCUGUGCUGCUCCUCUGCACCACUGCCAGGUUUUGUGGGUGGCUGGGCUUUGGCAUCUGCCCAGAGAAGCUGGGGAUCCGCCCAUCUGUCCCCUCUGAGGUGGCAGCACGUGUUGACCAGUUCUAGACUGAAGCCGCUUGCUGGGGGCCAUCACCCAUGAACUUCUGCCACCAUCAGGUGUGGCUGUGGGUCUCCCCCCGGGCUGGGGAAACAGGGGAUCCCCAGGACACCCCACCACCACCACCACCACCCUGGGCAGCUGCUUUUCCUGGUGUGGGCUGCCUCGUGUUGGCAUGGUAUGUCUUUGGGGGUUGAAGGCAAAGUUUUGGGGUGGACUCAAGCAGUUCUCCUUGUUUCACACCCAAAACCAACCCCUCUAUAUGCUCACUCCAGCUGUGCUGGGGGCACCCACGGGUGCUGAGUCCUGCUGCCACCAGGUCAUGGUGUGGCUCUGCUCAUUCUGCGCUGACUUGGGUGAGGAGGAGGUGACCAGGCUGGAGGUUGACCUGUUCAACUGCUGGGCCAGCACUGAAGGUCACCGGACACACCACUGCAUGUCAGAUAUGGUAAAGUGCCAGGGCAGGGCACCUCAAAUCCUGUUUUCUCCAAUUCCACCCCAAAUUCUGUAUUAAUCCAUUGCAGUUCCCGCCCCCACCCCCCCAAAAAAAAUAAUAAUAAAAAAUCCUAAACUUUGUAGUUGCAGAGCCUGAGUGGCACCCAGCCACCUCUGCUCAGCUGCUCAUCCUCAUUUUGGGGUAAAACCAGCCUUGUUCAGCCCACUUCCGUCGCGGCAGAUGGGGGUGUCCACUCCUAACCCUCUUCCCACCCUCAGCCUUGCCAGCUUUACUUGCUUCUGAAGGCUUUUCCAGUCUCCCCAGCACCGUGGGAUGGAGGCUGAAUGCUGAGGGUGAGCCAGCUUCCACCUGGUAGGUGGUGGUGGGCAUCACCAUGGAGUGAUGGUUUGUGGGGUGCUGUGGAGCCGCCCCCUGUCACCACCAUUCCAGUACCCCCCAGUAUUCGCCCCAGGAGGAGCUGUGGGAGUGGCUGGCUCAGUGGCCGCAGCCAAGACUGGAGAUCCCUGUCCAUCACAGCCUGCAGCAGCCAGUGCUGGAUGAAACCCGCGUCGCCAGCUGGUGGCACUAGAUGGCCUGGCUUGUGGAGGACAUCACCCAGCAGACGGGGAACGUGAGCAGCUGUGGUGUUGUGAGGCCUGGGAAAGGGCACUGGGUUUUCCUGUCAGACCUCUACCACGUGCAGGGUAGAGCUCAGGACAUCCAUUCCCAACUAGAGAGUGACCUGACCCAGCAGCACUGGAUGAAGGAGGUGAUGGAGAAGCUGCAACAGAUCAGCCAGAGGCUCAGGCUGAUGCUGGCAACCAUGGAGGGUGCGUGGAGCUGGCUGAAGAACCAUCUGCAGCACCUCUGCGCCAUCCCUGGCCCAGCUG